rnacentral:misc_RNA from 1 species
UACGAAGGGGGCUAGCGUUGUUCGGAUUUACUGGGCGUAAAGCGCACGUAGGCGGAUUGGUCAGUUAGAGGUGAAAUCCCAGAGCUCAACUCUGGAACUGCCUUUAAUACUGCCAAUCUUGAGUCCGGAAGAGGAAAGUGGAAUUCCUAGUGUAGAGGUGGAAUUCGUAGAUAUUAGGAAGAACACCAGUGGCGAAGGCGGCUUACUGGUCCGGUACUGACGCUGAGGUGCGAAAGCGUGGGGAGCGAACAGG